GACGAACGCUGGCGGCGUGCUUAACACAUGCAAGUCGAACGGAAAGGCCCUGCUUUUGUGGGGUGCUCGAGUGGCGAACGGGUGAGUAACACGUGAGUAACCUGCCCUUGACUUUGGGAUAACUUCAGGAAACUGGGGCUAAUACCGGAUAGGAGCUCCUGCUGCAUGGUGGGGGUUGGAAAGUUUCGGCGGUUGGGGAUGGACUCGCGGCUUAUCAGCUUGUUGGUGGGGUAGUGGCUUACCAAGGCUUUGACGGGUAGCCGGCCUGAGAGGGUGACCGGCCACAUUGGGACUGAGAUACGGCCCAGACUCCUACGGGAGGCAGCAGUGGGGAAUAUUGCACAAUGGGCGGAAGCCUGAUGCAGCGACGUCGCGUGCGGGAUGACGGCCUUCGGGUUGUAAACCGCUUUCGCCUGUGACGAAGCGUGAGUGACGGUAAUGGGUAAAGAAGCACCGGCUAACUACGUG
rnacentral:rRNA from 1 species